CCUACGGGAGGCAGCAGUGAGGAAUAUUGGUCAAUGGCCGAGAGGCUGAACCAGCCAAGCCGCGUGAGGGAAGAAUGUCCUAUGGAUUGUAAACCUCUUUUGUCAGGGAGCAAAGUCACCCACGUGUGGGUGUUGGAGAGUACCUGAAGAAAAAGCAUCGGCUAACUCCGUGCCAGCAGCCGCGGUAAUACGGGGGAUGCGAGCGUUAUCCGGAUUUAUUGGGUUUAAAGGGUGCGUAGGCGGGUUAGCAAGUAAGCGGUAAAAUCGUGGAGCUCAACUCCAUCCAGCCGUUGAAACUGAUGAUCUUGAGUGGACGAGAAGUAUGCGGAAUGCGUGGUGUAGCGGUGAAAUGCAUAGAUAUCACGCAGAACUCCGAUUGCGAAGGCAGCAUACCGGCGCCCGACUGACGCUGAGGCACGAAAGCGUGGGUAGCGAACAGGAUUAGAUACCCUGGUAGUC
rnacentral:rRNA from 1 species